UCUUUCCCCUGGCAGAAUACGCACACCGUAGUCCCUCUGUUUCUCUCAUUCACGUCUUCUUUCCCUCAUCACUCUCUUUACUCUCAUUUUCAAUUGGUUUCUGCAGCAACUUAUAAUCCUUGUUCCUUUCAUCUUGUUCUCAUCACCAACCUCAUCUCGUUCAUUUUCUUUGUGGCAGCGCCCACACACAACUGUGCCUUCUUCCUUCAUGAUCCAGCCACCACCUUGGUUCUCUCUUCACCCACACGAGGCACAAGCCACCACCGCCCCUCCUCCUCACCAUGGCUGUUAUGUCCAGCCAAGAGGCCACCAUAAUCACGUUCUUCUUCUCCUUUCCACCAUGAAAACCAUCACCACAAACAUGUUCUUGUUCUGCCCCUCCUUCUUCACGCAAGAAAGCCACCAUGGCAGCCACCACGUUCCUUUUCUUUCUCUCCAUGGCCACCACGAGAAGGCCAGCACCACAAGGAGACACCAUCACCAUUUUUCCUCUCCUUUGCUGUACACGCACACCAUGUUUCUUCUUCCUCUAUCAACCAUGGCAGCACCCCAUCAUCAACAUGUUCUUCUUCUUCUUUCUUCCUCACGAAGCCACCACUGAUGGCCACCCACAACACCAUCAUGGACGCACCACAUGAACCACCAACAUGGGUCUCUCUUUCCAGCCGAGAGCACCACCUCCAUGGCCACGAAGCAAGCAAAGAGAAACGACAAAGGAACCAUGAAAGAAAACAGGGGAGAACGACGUGAAAACGCCACCGCCGCCGGCGUCGCAAACUUCGACCUUCGAUUCCGGUGUACUCGGACCUCCGUUCACAGCGAGGUUAGUACCGUUGGAACCCUUGCGGCGUCCACAACAAAACCCAUAUUCCGAGUCGUCGACCGCCGCCGCUGCCGCCUUCAGGAGCUCUUUUUGGUCAACUCCGGCGACCGAUGGAAAAACGGAGGAUACUGCUACGAUCCUUGCCGUGAGGAGAGCAAACCACUAUUUUCAAUUUCAUAUUUGGGUCAUUUUAUUUGACGACCCCGACGACCACCGUCGACCUUCGGCUGAACUUUCUGGGCAAACCGUCGACUCUUUGGGGAAACGGACAGCGUCGUUGAGUUCCUGGCCGCGAAAGGGUGAAGGAACAACCUUCCUUUGUGUCUUCGGCGACAAUCCCUCCGUCAACCCCGUGAGCCGCAACUUUCUCUAACGACCCUUCGCCGACAAGUUUCCGAAACUUUAUUUUCGGUACGAAUAACGGGAGCGCUUGGCGACGAAGCCAAAUAAUAAAAGGAAGCAAGACGACACGGGAAAACAAAGAUGUGAUCGGAAUGAAGUCACCGUUUAGGAAGAAAAUUGGCUAAGGCGAUGGAGAAUCUUCGAAGGAGUUUAACCUUUGUGCGAGUAGAGAUGAGGACUUGAAGGACAAUGAAGUACUCGACGAGUAGAGUCGGGUUUAAGGCUAGAGUCUUGGGUUAGAGAGCUUAUCGCUAUUGGUUUAAGCUUGUUUAAAGAUUUUAGGAAUUUAUAUUUGGGGUUCCGGGUACUCGCCUUGUUCAAGGCUUGAUGUAAAUCCCUUUGUAGUUGGGAGUAUGCAUGACAUGUCUUGGAAAUACAUUUGAAAAGAAAAAAAUAUACUCGUGUUUAUACA